rnacentral:rRNA from 1 species
CUUCGGGGGUGCUCGAGUGGCGAACGGGUGAGUAACACGUGGGUGAUCUGCCUCGUACUCUGGGAUAAGCCUGGGAAACUGGGUCUAAUACUGGAUAGGACCGCACUUUAGUGUGUGUGGUGGAAAGUUUUUUCGGUACGAGAUGAGCCCGCGGCCUAUCAGCUUGUUGGUGGGGUAAUGGCCUACCAAGGCGUCGACGGGUAGCCGGCCUGAGAGGGUGGACGGCCACAUUGGGACUGAGAUACGGCCCAGACUCCUACGGGAGGCAGCAGUGGGGAAUAUUGCACAAUGGGCGCAAGCCUGAUGCAGCGACGCCGCGUGAGGGAUGACGGCCUUCGGGUUGUAAACCUCUUUCGACAGGGACGAAGCUUUUUGUGACGGUACCUGUAUAAGAAGCACCGGCUAACUACGUGCCAGCAGCCGCGGUAAUACGUAGGGUGCGAGCGUUGUCCGGAAUUACUGGGCGUAAAGAGCUCGUAGGUGGUUUGUCGCGUCGUCUGUGAAAUUCCGGGGCUUAACUCCGGGCGUGCAGGCGAUACGGGCAUAACUUGAGUGCUGUAGGGGAGACUGGAAUUCCUGGUGUAGCGGUGGAAUGCGCAGAUAUCAGGAGGAACACCGAUGGCGAAGGCAGGUCUCUGGGCAGUAACUGACGCUGAGGAGCGAAAGCAUGGGGAGCGAACAGGAUUAGAUACCCUGGUAGUCCAUGCCGUAAACGGUGGGCGCUAGGUGUGAGGGUCUUCCACGACUUUCGUGCCGUAGCUAACGCAUUAAGCGCCCGCCUGGGGAGUACGGCCGCAAGGCUAAA